rnacentral:piRNA from 1 species
UGACAGCUGCAGCAAGACCAACAUUGG